rnacentral:misc_RNA from 1 species
GAUGAAGAACGUAGCGAAAUGCGAUCAGUAAUGUGAAUUGCAGAAUUCAGUGAAUCAUCGAAUCUUUGAACGCACAUUGCGCCCGCCAGUAUUCUGGCGGGCAUGCCUGUUCGAGCGUCAUUUCAACCAUCAAGCCCCCGGGCUUGUGUUGGGGACCUGCGGCUGCCGCAGGCCCUGAAAACCAGUGGCGGGCUCGCUAGUCACUCCGAGCGUAGUAGUUACAUCUCGCUCAGGGCGUGCUGCGGGUUCCGGCCGUUAAAAGCCUUUUACCCCAAGGUUGACCUCGGAUCAGGUAGGAAGACCCGCUGAACUUAAGCAUAUCAAUAAGCGGAGGA